AUCCGACAGCUGAAAGAAGUGAAGAGAAACAUAUGUCAUUCAUUUUUGGGCAUUAACUCAUGUGGUAUGUGGUGGAGAAUCCUUGUGCCACUGGCGGAACCACGUCAUUCCGAGAUGUGCUGGAAUGGUUGGGUUUUUUUCCUGUGGCAAUAACAUGUCAUAAACCAAGGUGCUCUCGAAUCUAAGUUUGUAUCAGGAUGACAAUGAGUGGAAGUUACUCAUGUAUUCCCUUCGGAGUUUCUGCCUGAAUUGACUACGAAAUUGGACUCGCUUCUUGGAUCUUCGUUCUCUUUCCGAAGGAACUUGGAAGUUGAUCUCGACCAAGACACACUUGACGAUGUUCAAAAAAUCGGUGGAGAGCAUGAUAAUUAAAAAUCAUCAUUCAAAUCUAGAUGUUCGUAUGAAAAUGUAUUCAGUUUCCGUAAAAAGAGAUCAACGCUCAUCAUGAAUCUCAGUCCAAAAUUAAGCAUAAUGGAUCGGUGGCUCCUUUCUUUGAGCAUCAGUGAUGCGAAGAUUGGCUUGAAAGGGUUGAUAAUUCCAUUCAUUCGUUCCAAAAGCCACUUGUUUGCUUUUCAGUCGAGCAUAACUGAUGUUCUCCAAAGCAGAAACAGAUUGACCCCACCAAAAGAGCCUACUACGGAGAGGAGCCCCAAAAUGGCGUGGCUCUCAAAUAUGUGACCCGUCAAUUCGUCUUUCACCUUUUGACGUUCGUUAGGGCCCAUUGUGAACGAGAAUGGCCAAAGUUGAGCAGCCUUUAGCUCAGCCUGACAAAGUCACUUUGUAAUUCAAUCACCCACUCUGUACCGUAUAUGUAGGUAGAAGUGGAACUACAUUGUAGUAGUACUCGUUGUUGUCGACUCGAGAAUAUUUGCCCUUUCUGGCAAACUCGACAACUUUUCGGGCACACAAGUCGAGAACUUUGUCCCUGGGACGUCGGACACGCACAUCAAUUCUAUUUGAGCUUUGAACAACGGCAAUAAUGAUAACAAUAAUGAUGAUGAUGGUAAGAACGAACAGAUGACCGCCAAGAGCCAACCAACGAGGGUUUGGCUUUUUGAAGAAAAUACGACCCACUCGUACAUUUGUAUAUUUUGAGUCCGAAAUGAUGGCGACGCACUCAGCAAAACUGGGCAUUGUCGAGGUGUGUAGUGGUAUUCUCUUUGGUGUGAUCCUUCGCAU